rnacentral:misc_RNA from 1 species
UACGUAGGGCGCAAGCGUUAUCCGGAAUUAUUGGGCGUAAAGCGCGCGCAGGCGGUUCUUUAAGUCUGAUGUGAAAGCCCACGGCUCAACCGUGGAGGGUCAUUGGAAACUGGGGAACUUGAGUGCAGAAGAGGAAAGUGGAAUUCCAUGUGUAGCGGUGAAAUGCGUAGAGAUGUGGAGGAACACCAGUGGCGAAGGCGACUUUCUGGUCUGUAACUGACGCUGAGGUGCGAAAGCGUGGGGAUCAAACAGG